rnacentral:misc_RNA from 1 species
GAUGAAGAACGUAGCGAAAUGCGAUACUUGGUGUGAAUUGCAGAAUCCCGUGAACCAUCGAGUCUUUGAACGCAAGUUGCGCCCGAAGCCACUAGGCCGAGGGCACGCCUGCCUGGGCGUCACACGCCGUUGCCCCCCCAUCUACUCCUUCGGGAUUGCGGGGGGGCGGAUGAUGGCCUCCCGUGCGCCUAGCCGCGCGGUUGGCAUAAAUACCAAGUCCUCGGCGACGCACGCCACGACAAUCGGUGGUUGCGAAACCUCGGUUGCCCGUCGUGUGCGUUCGUCGCGCAUCGAGGGCUCGAAAAAAUGCUCGGCUCCGGCUGGGCUUUCAACGCGACCCUAGGUCAGGCGGGGUUACCCGCUGAAUUUAAGCAUAUCAAUAAGCGGAGGA